UGGGGAAUAUUGGACAAUGGGCGGAAGCCUGAUCCAGCAACGCCGCGUGAGGGAUGACGGCCUUCGGGUUGUAAACCUCUUUCAGCUCCGACGAAGCGCCCGUGAGGGUGGUGACGGUAGGUGCAGAAGAAGGACCGGCCAACUACGUGCCAGCAGCCGCGGUAAUACGUAGGGUCCGAGCGUUGUCCGGAAUUAUUGGGCGUAAAGGGCUCGUAGGCGGUCUGUUGCGUCGGGAGUGAAAACUUACAGCUUAACUGUGAGCGUGCUUCCGAUACGGGCAGACUUGAGGCAUUCAGGGGAGAACGGAAUUCCUGGUGUAGCGGUGAAAUGCGCAGAUAUCAGGAGGAACACCGGUGGCGAAGGCGGUUCUCUGGGAAUGUCCUGACGCUGAGGAGCGAAAGUGUGGGGAGCGAACAGG
rnacentral:rRNA from 2 species